rnacentral:ncRNA from 1 species
AUAUAUUUGAGUUUGAUGAUGGCUCUGAAUGAACGCUGUCCAAAUGCUUGACACAUGCUAAUCGUACGUUUAAUAUAAUAUAAUAGUGUUCAGGUUAAUCCUGUAAAACUAUUUAUUUAAUUAAAAGUGGUGUACAGGUGAGUAUAUGGUAUUUUGGCUACCUUAAAGUAAGGCUAAUAAAUACCUUAUAAAGAAAGGAAGUAAAUUUCCGCUUUAAGAUGACAAUAAAUAUCUCGGAUAGGUAGUAGUUAAGGUAAUGACUUAACUAGCUUAAAAUUCCGUAAUCGAGGCUGAGAGGUCCAUCGAUCACAUUGGGUCUGAAAAAACCCCAAUACGUAUAGUACAGCAGUGAGGAAUAUUGGUCAAUAGCCUAAGGGCUGAACCAGCAACUUGGAAGAACGUAAAGCUUCGGCUUGUGAAACCUAAAAUUAUAGGUGAACAUCGACUAUGUCGAAUAAAGUUCUAGAUAUAAUAUUGAUUAUGACAAUUUUUUAUCUAUUAGUCUUGACCAAAAUACGUGCCAGCAGUCGCGGUAAUACGUAAAAGACAAGUGUUAUUCAUCUUUAAUAGGUUUAAAGGGUACCUAGACGGUAUUAUUAGCCCAAAAAAGGGUACAAUUAUACUAGAGUUUUAUAGGAGAAGGAAGUAUUUAUGGAGGAGAGUUUAUAUUUCAUUAUACCUUAAAGACUGGUAAAGGCGAAAGCAACCUUCUAUCUAAUAACUGACGUUGAGGUACGAAGGCCUGGGUAGCAAACAGGAUUAGAUACCCUAGUAGUCCAGGCAGAGAAUUAUGAAUGCCAUAUGCUAGAUUAAUUUAGCAUAUAAAUGAAAGUGUAAGCAUUUCACCUUAAGAGUAAUGCGGCAACGCAGAAACUGAAAUCAUUAGGCCGUUUCUGAAAUCAGUAGUGAAGUAUGUUAUUUAAUUCGAUAUUCCACGAAAAACCUUACCACAAUUUGCAUAUUAUUUUUAAUCUUAAUUGCUUAAAAAUAAAACAAGCGUUGCACGGCUGUCUUCAGUUAAUGUCGUGAGAUUUUGGUUUGUUCCAUAAAAUUAACGUAAACCCUUGCUUUAUUUAUAAAUAGUAUUUUAUAAAGCAGUUCG